ensembl:lncRNA
GUAAGAGUUACAAUCAUGUAUUCUUAGAAAACUGUCAGAUUACAAGGACAACAAUGACUGUUUAUAAUGCACCAAGUUUCAUAUAUUCAUAUAACAACCUGCAGUUAGCUCAAAGUAGAGUCAUGACCAUGCAUGGAGUAAAAAUAGACAUUUCAAUUGUAACUUCCCCUUGAGGCACCCACUGCAUGAUUAAGAAAAAUGCAACACCGGUUGGCCGGCGGCUGAGAGAUGAAACCAUCCCCGCUUGGUUCUGUCAAAAGCCUCCAAGCAACCUCAACAAGCAUGACAGCCACGUUAGCUUGGGAUCCUUGGACAACAUAGUAUUAAUCGGCCAUUCGGCAGGUGCUCAUUUGUGCACAUUGGCCGCGCUGUUUCUCAUUGACGGACGAGAGGAGCUUUUCAUAGAGGCAAGCAAGCAGGCGGACGUCACAGAGGCCAUAAGAGGAGUCAUUGGUCUGAGUGGCGUGUACAACAUCGUGGACCAUUACGAGCACGAGCAGAAGCGGGGAGUCGAGUACGUCUCCACCAUGCACAAAGCCAUGAAUGGAGUGGAGAACUUCCCGUACUACUCGCCGACACACUUACUGAAGAGGCUGAGCCGGGACAAGCUGGACAGAAUCCCUCCGUUUGCUCUGCUCCACGGGACCGACGACAUCAUCGUCCCCUUCGAUUCCUCCGCAAAGUUCUGCGACCUCCUCACCUCGCUGUCCGUGAAGGUGUCGCUCUACCUGCUCCCCCGCGUCGACCACACCGAGAUCGUCACCGACCUCAUGGUGCCCGACCGCCGCUUCUACCACCCCAUCUACAGCUGCAUCAAGCAGGAGCACAGGAAGCUGCUGGGGGCCUGGUGACGACCCGUCAGGAGAACACCCACCACUCGUCCAUCCAUCACUCGUAUUUACUGAUUGUGCCAUAUACUUGCUUUGUUUACGUCCCAUGCUCUAAUACCUCAACAUGAAUCGUGUUUAGCAUGGAUUUUUACUUGAUUGUGAUUCCGUGAUCAUGAUGUUUUUGAACAGAUUUUAAUUUGGUAAAUCUAAGGGUUACAUGUCAGUGAUUUUUCAUCUACAUUCUUUAAAAAUAAUAUUCCUUGUGGAAUGCAGUGUAGAUAACAUCAUUCUAAUGUUGUGUUGGAGAGAUGUUAGCUAGCUCACAGUAAAGGGAAAUCAAUCCAUAAGUGUUAUAAAAAGGACAGUGAAGCAGACUGAUACAUGCCGUGCAGUGAUACUGAUAAAGGAGCACAGUUACGACAGUACUGACUGCAACAUUUUGUCUAAUUGACUUUGGUGUUUUUAUUCAAUUAAAUUGUAAUAUAUUUUCCUGAAAAAAUAUUUAUUCAUCGUAGACACAUUAAACUCAUUCGAAUUAAACUAAUAUGACUACAAAUUGCUUGCACAAUGGAAUAUUGUACUUAAAUGUUUUGCCCAGCAAAAGCACUUAAAGAUUGUUAAUUGUACAAUUUUACAUUGUUUUUAACAUGUGCUUGUACUUUUGUUUCGGAAAGUUUUGUAUCAGAAGCGUGUCCCAUACAUACCAUACAUUUAAAAUGUCAUCAGGUAAUGGUUGUUGAAAACAUAAAUAUACUUUGUUGCAAUGUAUAAAACUCCAUUAAACCAUAUAAUGUAAGAGAACAUGCACAUCAUGAUUCCAUUCCAUGCAGUCACUGCAUAUGAGCGCCUAAUGGAAGUGAAAAUGGCCAUGGGACAUGUAACCAAAUAUUAGCACUGCUCUAUGUACUGUAUAUUUUUGACCCAGCAGAUGUUGUCACUUUUUCUGUUAUCCCAUAAUAAAG